rnacentral:tRNA from 2 species
GGGCUUAUAGUCUAACGGUAAAAUGCGACUUUCACGUAGUCGAGUUCCCGGUUCGAUUCCGGGUAGGCCCA